rnacentral:lncRNA from 1 species
GACCUUUGAGACAAGCUCCUCGUCUUCAUGCCAAGGCUUAACGCCCAGCUCGCGAUGGGAAGUUCAAGCCGCGGGGGCGGGCACACCAACGUGUCGGCAUCCGUAUUAGCCUCAGAAACAACUCUAGGCGCUUAGACAGUUCCCUAAACUUUCUAAGUUAAAUCCGAGGACGACCUCCUCGACGAAAUGCGCUCGAAACGAAAACUUGCAAAUAUAAAAAAUGGUUUUGUUGGGCAGGCAUACAAUAAUGACGAGCAUGUAUACAAAUGACAAAACCAAAAAAUUUGUUAAGUUAAAAACGAGCAAGCAUAAAGACAUGCAUAAAUUCAUUACGAACAGGCAUAACUUAGCAAAAACAAAAGCGAUAAUUUAAACAUACAAACGAGGAGCAUGAAAUAAACGAGCAGGAUUAACAAAACGGGCACUGUCAUAAAAAUACCGGGCAUAAAACCCACUUGUU